rnacentral:lncRNA from 1 species
GUUGUCGGCUUUGUCGCACUGGCCGUGGCGCUGGUGUGCCUGGUGGCGAUGCUGCACCGCCGCUGGCGCACCAAGCGGCGGUCGCCGCCGUCGUGCAGGGCCAAGCCGCCGGGAGCGGGGCCCGCGACGACGCUGGCUAUGACGGACGUGCAGGUGUGUGGGGUGGAGGGUGGAGGGCCCGCCCAGCUGCAGUGUGUAUGGAGAGGGGAAGGGGCUUUUGGCUCGAGCGGCCCCUCUAGGAUGAGCGCAUUUUGUAGGAGGCGUUUCUUUGUUUGUCUCUUGUUUUCUUUUUUACUGGUCUGCUUCUUAACCAUAUUUUAACCAUAUUUUAACCAUAUUUUAACCAUAUUUAACCAUAUUUAACCAAAUAUACUGUUUGUCCCAGAGGUCCUCUGGUGAUGCAGUGUGGCGGGUCCAGUGGUGGUUUCUGUCCCGAGUAAAAGGAGUGACCCCCUUGCCUCCCAUUCUCGGACAUGUUUGUCCCUCCUCCAUCAUGCACACUUUGCUUCUAGGAUUCGCUUUCAUCCCCUUGCACCGGCAUAUCCCCUUGCACCGGCCGUUGAUUGCUUCCAUGCAUUUUGCACCACCACCAUCAAGUGAUCUCCAAGCCCUCCAUGUCUUCCUGUUUUCCCGCAUCACGGCUCAGGUUUUUUUGAAACACACACACACACACACACACACACACACACGUGCCCGUUCUCGUCCAUUCGUCCAUCUCUUGAUUCAGAGUUCCACGAUGUUGUGGGAGGUGCUCCCCGCAGAGCUGAUGGACGCAUGUAUGUCCAUACACCACGGAAUCAUGCGCAAGGUACGGCGUGUAUGUAUGUAUGUAUGUACGUAUGUACGUGUGUGUUUGUGGAUAUGGAUGUGAGAGAGGACGGGGGCGGCAUGCGUGGGGGGGAAGGAGGGAGGGGGGACCGGGAUGUAUGUCGGGAGGGUGAAGGAUGACGUGCAUGGUACGUGUGCGGAGAAAAAGCGGUUGCUCCCCAGCGGAGAGUUAGAUGGGUUUGGGGUGGAGGGCUGCUGCAUGCAUCUCGCAGCAUGCACGGUGGGUAGGUAGUAGGGGGGUGCUGUACACUACGGAAGGUAAAGGUAGGACGAAACUUGGAAAGCAUGAGAAUUAUGGAGGUGAUGUUAUCUGUGUGCCGGCAUGCUUAUAUGCUUCAUGCUGGCGAGGUUGUCAUAGCCCCGGUGCUUGCCUGUUUGAACUCUGCCGUCGCUUCCUAUUCCUACUGCUAACCCCCCUACACGUGUACCUUCUUCUUCUUCCCUCUCCUCCCCUCUCCCGGCUCUCCUCAUCCCCUGCAGUCAUCUGCCCUUCCGCCCCCCGUCCCCUCCGUCCCUCCCUCCCCCCUCUGUGGUUCGUCUUUCCCCCCUCUCGCCCCUCUCGCCCCCUUCCGUCGGCUCCCCCUCCUCUCCU